GAGACUCUGUGCGCGUGCAUAUCAAUAAGCGGAGGAAAAGAAACUAACAAGGAUUCCCCUAGUAACGGCGAGUGAAGCGGGAAGAGCUCAAAUUUGAAAUCUUAAAGGGUUUCCCUUUACGAAUUGUAGUUUAAAGAAGUGUUUUCUGUUCGGAGUUUCGGUAAAAGUUCUUUGGAAUAGGACAUCAUAGAGGGUGAGAAUCCCGUAUUUGACCGUUACUUUCCAGCUGUGUGAUACACUUUCCAAAGAGUCGGAUUGUUUGGGAAUGCAGUCCAAGAUGGGUGGUAAAUUUCAUCUAAAGCUAAAUAUUGGCGAGAGACCGAUAGCGAACAAGUACCGUGAGGGAAAGAUGAAAAGAACUUUGAAAAGAGAGUUAAACAGUACGUGAAAUUGUCAAAAGGGAAGCGUUUGACACCAGUGUUGUUUUUCCGAAAAUCAAUUACGAAUGUUUUGUUUUUAAGAAGUUAUGACUUCAUCGGCUUGCUCCUUUCUUUAUGAAACUUUCUUAAUGCACUUUUCGGUUAACAAGUCAACAUCAAUUUCUUUUGUUGUAAAAGGGUAUGAGGAAGGUGGCUUUCUUUUCGGAGAAAGUGUUUAUAGCCUUGUGCCUCUGCAAUCGGAGAGAUUGAGGUCUGCAGCGUAGAUCCUUUGGGGUUAGAUACGUUUGUGCUAAGUUAUAGCUUUUCAUAGACAACUUGUUGACUAUGUUUAGUCUUGUAGCUUACUCGCUGACGCUAUUUUACCUACGCUUAGGAUGUUGACAGCAGUAUAGACUGU
rnacentral:rRNA from 1 species